rnacentral:rRNA from 1 species
AUGAUACCAGCACAACAACAGGAGCACCAGCAAACGACCAAGCUACUACCACCUCCAACCAAGCGACAGGACAAAGCACAUGUCAGCACAAGUGGAAGCAAGGAACCAGUCACAGGCACCAGCACAGGAUCAUAUGAGAUAUUCAGAAGGAUAGAAGACAUGUUGAAACAAGUACUCGGCGAAACAAAACAGAUACCCGGAAUAACGACCAGGGCUGGACACCAAUGCAGCAAACAAGAGAAGGAAUUAGAUGAAAGCAUGAGGAACACAGUGGUGCGACAAACAACGGCCGUGAUUGAUUCUCUCGAACAACUUAGAGAAUUCCAGGACAUUGUUCAUAGGGUGAGCUUUCAAGAAGAGACGACGCUAAAGCUGCAGGAUGAGCAGACGCAGGAGACACAGCUGCACCUGUACAUGGCAACCACACGAAAGAAAUCGUAG